CGCGGCCUAUCAGCUUGUUGGUGAGGUAACGGCUCACCAAGGCAGUGACGGGUAGCUGGUCUGAGAGGACGAUCACCCACACUGGGACUGAGACACGGCCCAGACUCCUACGGGGGGCAGCAGCAGGGAAUAUUGCCCAAUGGGCGAAAGCCUGACGCAACGGCCCCCCGUGAGGGAUGAAGGCCUUCGGGUUGUAAACCUCUUUCAGGAUGGAAGAAGCGAAAGUGACUGUACCUCCACAAGAAGGCCCGGCCAACUACGUGCCAGCAGCCGCGGUAAUACGUAGGGGCCAAGCGUUGUCCGGAUUCAUCGGGCGUAGAGAGCUCGUAGGCGGCUCAGCAAGUCGGUCGUGAAAGCCCGGGGCUCAACCCCGGGACGCCGGUCGAAACUGCUGUGGCUAGGGUUCGGUAGAGGAGAGUGGAAUUCUCGGUGUAGCGGUGAAAUGCGCAGAUAUCAGGAGGAACACCGACGGCGAAGGCAGCACUCUGGGCCGGUACUGACGCUCAGGAGCGAAAGCGUGGGUAGCAAACAGGAUUAGAUACCCUGGUAGUCCACGCCGUAAACGUUGGGCACUACGUGUGGGGCCUUAUCAACGGGUUCCGUGCCGUAGCUAACGCAUUAAGUGCCCCGCCUGGCGAGU
rnacentral:rRNA from 1 species